GGGCUUGUAGCUCAGUUGGUUAGAGCGCGCGCUUGAUAAGCGUGAGGUCGAAGGUUCAAGUCCUUCCAGGCCCACCA
rnacentral:tRNA from 2 species